CAUCGGAUAGAUACUUUGGAUCUAGGUCCGAGAUGUGAACUUGUUGAACUCAAUGAGAACAAUAAGGAUCUGAUCACCUACAUGGAUGUCAUGCAGAGGUUCGACUCUGAUUAAUGGCUUGGAGCCAUAGAGUCAAAAAUUGAGUCCAUGAUGGUCAAUGAUGUAUGGACAUUCAUUGAUUCACUCGAAGGGUAAAGCCCAUAGAGUGUAAGUGGAUCUUCAAUA
rnacentral:lncRNA from 1 species